AGUUUUCAGUUUCUUCGUAAUCAAAAACGUGGUUUCCCGUAGAAAUCGCCACAAUCUUCACAACUGUCUCCACUGGAUGGGCACUGGGUACAACAACAGAACAAUAAAAGGGAGGACCCAGUUCUGCCUGAAGGGAUGGAGAGCCAUCCAGGAAGCCUUCGCAGAGAAGCUGAUGCUUGAAGCAAGACCUUGAGGGAAAGAAGAAUGUCGAACAGGAAAAGGGAGGGAAGACCUUUCAAAAUCAGGAAACAGGGUCAUCUGAUGAUGAUAGUCUCAAAAGGAAUCAUCUGUGAAUACCUAGGGAGACUCUUCAGCUUUCCCCUGUUUUUAAUGAAACCGUAAGGAAAUUGCAUCGCCUUAUUCCUGGUGAAAGAACAAAAGUCUAGCUGCACAAUCAAGUCUUUUACACUACAGCCAUUUGCAUUUCCAAUGAAUGUUGACUGCAUACCACAGGCAGGUAAUGUCAAGGUGACAGGUAUGCGGGAGAUGAUCCUGAUUCAUAAUGCAUGUAACUCAAGGUGCACUUGUGCAUA